GUCACACCAUGGGAGUGGGUUGCUCCAGAAGUAGCUAGUCUAACCGCAAGGAGGACGGUUACCACGGAGUGAUUCAUGACUGGGGUGAAGUCGUAACAAGGUAGCCGUAGGGGAACCUGCGGCUGGAUCACCUCCUUAAUCGAAGACAUCAGCUUCUUCAUAAGCUCCCACACGAAUUGCUUGAUUCACUUGCGAAAAGCGAUUGGGUUUAGACCCGAAAGUGUGACGAUUGGGUCUGUAGCUCAGUUGGUUAGAGCGCACCCCUGAUAAGGGUGAGGUCGGCAGUUCGAAUCUGCCCAGACCCACCAAUUGUCGAGGGCGCAGCAGGUCUGAAGGGGCCAUAGCUCAGCUGGGAGAGCGCCUGCUUUGCACGCAGGAGGUCAGGAGUUCGAUCCUCCUUGGCUCCACCAUCCACACAAUCGCUGAAAGCUCAGAAAUGAGUACCUGGUUCAGGUAUUGAUUUCUGGUCUUUGCGCCAGAACGUUCUUUAAAAAUUUGGGUAUGUGAUAGAAGUGACUUGUUGAGUGUUUCACUGCACUCAGCAACUCAAGGCAAAAUUUGCGAGUUCAAGCGCGAAUUUUCGGCGAAUGUCGUCUUCACACCAUGACCACUGGCAGAUUGCUUGGGGUUAUAUGGUCAAGUGAAGAAGCGCAUACGGUGGAUGCCUUGGCAGUCAGAGGCGAUGAAAGACGUGGUAGCCUGCGAUAAGCUUCGGGGAGUCGGCAAACAGACUUUGAUCCGGAGAUCUCUGUG
rnacentral:misc_RNA from 1 species